CAUUAAAGAGUUCUAUAACUCCCAAACCCAUGUGAACAUACCUAACGUUGCCUCGGCAGGUCGCACCUACCUUGUAGCACCCUACCCUGUAGGGCCUACCCGGGAGGUGCGGGUAAGCCUGCCGGCGGCCCACCAAACUCUGUUUGAUAUUGAAUUCUGAACCUAUAACUAAAUAAGUUAAAACUUUCAACAACGGAUCUCUUGGUUCUGGCAUCGAUGAAGAACGCAGCGAAAUGCGAUAAGUAAUGUGAAUUGCAGAAUUCAGUGAAUCAUCGAAUCUUUGAACGCAUAUUGCGCCCAUUAGUAUUCUAGUGGGCAGGACCGUUCGAGCGUCAUUUCAACCCUUAAGCCUUCGUUGCUUAGUGUUGGGAGCCUACGGCAACGUAGCUCCUCAAAGUUAGUGGCGGAGUUGGUUCACACUCUAGACGUAGUAAUUUUUUAUCUCGCCUAUUAGUUGGACUAAUCCCCUGCCGUAAAACCCCCAAUUUAUCAAGGUUGACCUCGAAUCGGUUCAGACAAACUCGCUAAAUUGAAGCAUCUUAGUCAGCGAAGGAAAAGAAACCAACAGGGAUUGCCCUAGUAACGGCGAGUGAAGCGGCAACAGCUCAAAUUUGAAAUCUG
rnacentral:rRNA from 1 species